UUGAAUUGUCCUGAUUUUUUCCGUCUCGAGUUCUUCCUCAUGUGUAUAAUCUGUGUCAUUAGCAAAGGUUAUUAUAUUAGAUCAAUGGAUUUGCACAAUUAGAACUAAUAUAUUGUUAAGAAACUUGUCUACGUACUAUGAUUUCAUGGUCGGUCACACGUUUCGGACCUACAAAGCCAUGGAUGAACUCACAAACAAAGUAUCCGCAUAAAUUAUUC
rnacentral:lncRNA from 1 species